rnacentral:tRNA from 1 species
GGGCCCAUAGCUCAGUUGGUCAGAGCGGCGGACUCAUAAUCCGUUGGUCGGAGGUUCAAGUCCUCCUGGGCCCA